AGCGAACGCUGGCGGCAGGCCUAACACAUGCAAGUCGAGCGCCCCGCAAGGGGAGCAGCAGACGGGUGAGUAACGCGUGGGAAUCUACCGUGCCCUACGGAAUAGCUCCGGGAAACUGGAAUUAAUACCGUAUACGCCCUACGGGGGAAAGAUUUAUCGGGGUAUGAUGAGCCCGCGUUGGAUUAGCUAGUUGGUGGGGUAAAGGCCUACCAAGGCGACGAUCCAUAGCUGGUCUGGGAGGAUGAUCAGCCACAUUGGGACUGAGACACGGCCCAAACUCCUACGGGAGGCAGCAGUGGGGAAUAUUGGACAAUGGGCGCAAGCCUGAUCCAGCCAUGCCGCGUGAGUGAUGAAGGUCUUAGGAUUGUAAAGCUCUUUCACCGAUUGAGAUAAUGACGGUAGUCGGAGAAGAAGCCCCGGCUAACUUCGUGCCAGCCGCCGCAGUAACAC
rnacentral:rRNA from 1 species